GGAGUGGUUCGGAUGGUCGCGGUGUUUGCAUUUAUGCAGGCAUCGAGGAAAGUCCGGGCUGCACUGGGCAGGAUGCCGGAUAACGUCCGGCGGGGGCGACCUCGGGAAAGUGCCACAGAGAGUAGACCGCCCUGCAUUGAUGCAGGGUAAGGGUGAAAGGGUGCGGUAAGAGCGCACCGCUUUGUCCGGUAACGGACGAGGGCAUGGUAAACCCCAUCCGCAGCAAGGCCAAAUAGGGAAGCAAUAGGCGUGGCCCGCGCUGCUUCCGGGUAGGCUGCUAGAGUGUGUCGGCAACGGCACACCCAGAUGAAUGAUCAUCGAAGGCUUCGGCUGGAACAGAACCCGGCUUACAGGACCGCUCCGCUA
rnacentral:RNase_P_RNA from 6 species